UACGUAGGUGGCGAGCGUUGUCCGGAAUUAUUGGGCGUAAAGCGCGCGCAGGCGGGAAUCUAAGUCUGUCUUAAAAGUGCAGGGCUUAACCCUGUGAUGGGACAGAAACUGGAUUUCUUGAGUGCAGGAGAGGACAGUGGAAUUCCCAGUGUAGCGGUGAAAUGCGUAGAUAUUGGGAGGAACACCAGUGGCGAAGGCGACUGUCUGGACUGUGUCUGACGCUGAGGCGCGAAAGCCAGGGAAGUGAACGGGAUUAGAUACCCCGGUAAUCCUGGCCGUAAACGAUGGGUACUAGGUGUUGGGGGUAUCGACCCCUCCAGUGCCGGAGUUAACGCAAUAAGUACCCCGCCUGGGGAGUACGGCCGCAAGGUUGAA
rnacentral:rRNA from 1 species